AUGCUCAUUUCGACAGCACAUAGCCUAAAAUUGGAAGGACACAGAGAAGAUUAGCAUGGCCGCUGCGCGAGGAUGACACGCAAACUCAUGAAGCAUAAAUAAAAAAA